GACUAGUUAGCUUAGUUGGUAGUGCGUCUGCCUCGUAAGCGCUAGGCCGCGGGUUCGAUUCCCGCCCGGGGCG
rnacentral:tRNA from 1 species